rnacentral:rRNA from 1 species
UACGGAGGGUGCAAGCGUUAUCCGGAUUCACUGGGUUUAAAGGGUGCGUAGGAGGGCAGGUAAGUCAGUGGUGAAAUCCCCGUGCUUAACAUGGGAACUGCCGUUGAUACUAUCUGUCUUGAAUGCCGUGGAGAUGAGCGGAAUAUGUCAUGUAGCGGUGAAAUGCUUAGAUAUGACAUAGAACACCAAUUGCGAAGGCAGCUCGUUACACGAACAUUGACUCUGAGGCUCGAAAGCGUAGGGAUCAAACAGG